AAAACCGGCGUUGGGCUAGCCUACAAUGUUGAAAACGCAAUUGUUGAACACAUAUUUCGACACAAAUUCAUAGGAUCUAAGAGAAUUGACGGUGAAUAUGAUGGGUCAAGUUAACGUUAAGCUCUUUGUCAGGUGUUUGGAAAGAAACAACGGCAUGCGGUUGUAGCCAUGCAGGGGACGAUUCGAGACAGUAGGACAGAUUUAGUCAAAGUGCAGGAUUUCAAUGAAGACUCGCACCGAUACCCUGACAUGAACAUAAUUUUUCGAACCUUGAAACCAGCCUCGCUUAUGAUCACGCCGAGUCAUAGCCGUGAUGGAAGUUGUCAGGAAACAACAGGUUAACUUAUCAUCAUGAAGUAAAUAGGCUUAUAUCUCUGCCGACAUUUUUUCGCUUCCAAUAUCAAAGAACUUUAUUUUAUAAAUUCACCAUGCAGAAGUUGCAAUUUAGGCAUAGUUGCAGACGGUAUUUAAGACUUUUAAAAAUCAAACAACAGAACGGUAUGUUUAAUGUUUCUGUUUUAUAAAUUGAUGAAAUUCUUGUUUGUUUACAAAAUAAACCCUGUAUAAAUAUCCUG